rnacentral:rRNA from 1 species
UACGUAGGGGGCUAGCGUUGUCCGGAAUCAUUGGGCGUAAAGAGCGCGUAGGCGGCCCUGUAAGUCCGCUGUGAAAGUCAAGGGCUCAACCCUUGAAUGCCGGUGGAUACUGCAGGGCUAGAGUCCGGAAGAGGCGAGUGGAAUUCCUGGUGUAGCGGUGAAAUGCGCAGAUAUCAGGAGGAACACCGAUGGCGAAGGCAGCUCGCUGGGACGGUACUGGACGCUGAGGCGCGAAAGCGUGGGGAGCGAACAGG